UACGUAGGGUGCGAGCGUUGUCCGGAAUUAUUGGGCGUAAAGAGCUUGUAGGCGGUUUGUCGCGUCUGCUGUGAAAUCUCAAGGCUCAACCUUGAGCUUGCAGUGGGUACGGGCAGACUAGAGUGUGGUAGGGGAGACUGGAAUUCCUGGUGUAGCGGUGAAAUGCGUAGAUAUUGGGAAGAACACCUGAGGCGAAGGCGGGUUGCUGGGCCGACACUGACGCUGAGGCGCGAAAGCCAGGGGAGCGAACGGG
rnacentral:rRNA from 1 species